AUCUAAGUACCCCGAGGAAAAGAAAUCAACCGAGAUUCCCCCAGUAGCGGCGAGCGAACGGGGAGGAGCCCAGAGCCUGAAUCAGCAUGUGUGUUAGUGGAAGCGUCUGGAAAGGCGCGCGAUACAGGGUGACAGCCCCGUACACAAAAGCGCAUGUGCUGUGAGCUCGAUGAGUAGGGCGGGACACGUGGUAUCCUGUCUGAAUAUGGGGGGACCAUCCUCCAAGGCUAAAUACUCCUGACUGACCGAUAGUGAACCAGUACCGUGAGGGAAAGGCGAAAAGAACCCCGGCGAGGGGAGUGAAAAAGAACCUGAAACCGUGUACGUACAAGCAGUGGGAGCACAGGUUUACCUGUGUGACUGCGUACCUUUUGUAUAAUGGGUCAGCGACUUAUAUUCUGUAGCAAGGUUAACCGUAUAGGGGAGCCGGAGGGAAACCGAGUCUUAACCGGGCGUUAAGUUGCAGGGUAUAGACCCGAAACCCGGUGAUCUAGCCAUGGGCAGGUUGAAGGUUGGGUAACACUAACUGGAGGACCGAACCGACUAAUGUUGAAAAAUUAGCGGAUGACCUGUGGCUGGGGGUGAAAGGCCAAUCAAACCGGGAGAUAGCUGGUUCUCCCCGAAAGCUAUUUAGGUAGCGCCUCGUGAAUUCAUCUCCGGGGGUAGAGCACUGUUUCGGCUAGGGGGCCAUCCCGGCUUACCAACCCGAUGCAAACUGCGAAUACCGGAGAAUGUUAUCACGGGAGACACACGGCGGGUGCUAACGUCCGUCGUGAAGAGGGAAACAACCCAGACCGCCAGCUAAGGUCCCAAAGUCAUGGUUAAGUGGGAAACGAUGUGGGAAGGCCCAGACAGCCAGGAUGUUGGCUUAGAAGCAGCCAUCAUUUAAAGAAAGCGUAAUAGCUCACUGGUCGAGUCGGCCUGCGCGGAAGAUGUAACGGGGCUAAACCAUGCACCGAAGCUGCGGCAGCGAACGUAUCACCCAAGACAACUUUACGGAGUUGACGAUUGACGGAGCGAAGCGACGUCAAAGCGUUCAUUAAAGUCGAGUUGGCUUAGGGAUACGUUCGUUGGGUAGGGGAGCGUUCUGUAAGCCUGUGAAGGUGGCCUGUGAGGGUUGCUGGAGGUAUCAGAAGUGCGAAUGCUGACAUAAGUAACGAUAAAGCGGGUGAAAAGCCCGCUCGCCGGAAGACCAAGGGUUCCUGUCCAACGUUAAUCGGGGCAGGGUGAGUCGACCCCUAAGGCGAGGCCGAAAGGCGUAGUCGAUGGGAAACGGGUUAAUAUUCCCGUACUUGGUGUUACUGCGAAGGGGGGACGGAGAAGGCUAUGUUGGCCGGGCGACGGUUGUCCCGGUUUAAGCGUGUAGGUGUGUGUUCCAGGUAAAUCCGGUUCACUUUAACACUGAGGCGUGAUGACGAGGCACUACGGUGCUGAAGCAACAAAUGCCCUGCUUCCAGGAAAAGCCUCUAAGCAUCAGGUAACAUCAAAUCGUACCCCAAACCGACACAGGUGGUCAGGUAGAGAAUACCAAGGCGCUUGAGAGAACUCGGGUGAAGGAACUAGGCAAAAUGGUGCCGUAACUUCGGGAGAAGGCACGCUGACACGUAGGUGAAGUGAUUUACUCACGGAGCUGAAGUCAGUCGAAGAUACCAGCUGGCUGCAACUGUUUAUUAAAAACACAGCACUGUGCAAACACGAAAGUGGACGUAUACGGUGUGACGCCUGCCCGGUGCCGGAAGGUUAAUUGAUGGGGUCAGCGCAAGCGAAGCUCCUGAUCGAAGCCCCGGUAAACGGCGGCCGUAACUAUAACGGUCCUAAGGUAGCGAAAUUCCUUGUCGGGUAAGUUCCGACCUGCACGAAUGGCGUAAUGAUGGCCAGGCUGUCUCCACCCGAGACUCAGUGAAAUUGAACUCGCUGUGAAGAUGCAGUGUACCCGCGGCAAGACGGAAAGACCCCGUGAACCUUUACUAUAGCUUGACACUGAACAUUGAGCCUUGAUGUGUAGGAUAGGUGGGAGGCUUUGAAGUGUGGACGCCAGUCUGCAUGGAGCCGACCUUGAAAUACCACCCUUUAAUGUUUGAUGUUCUAACGUGGACCCGUGAUCCGGGUUGCGGACAGUGUCUGGUGGGUAGUUUGACUGGGGCGGUCUCCUCCUAAAGAGUAACGGAGGAGCACGAAGGUUGGCUAAUCCUGGUCGGACAUCAGGAGGUUAGUGCAAUGGCAUAAGCCAGCUUGACUGCGAGCGUGACGGCGCGAGCAGGUGCGAAAGCAGGUCAUAGUGAUCCGGUGGUUCUGAAUGGAAGGGCCAUCGCUCAACGGAUAAAAGGUACUCCGGGGAUAACAGGCUGAUACCGCCCAAGAGUUCAUAUCGACGGCGGUGUUUGGCACCUCGAUGUCGGCUCAUCACAUCCUGGGGCUGAAGUAGGUCCCAAGGGUAUGGCUGUUCGCCAUUUAAAGUGGUACGCGAGCUGGGUUUAGAACGUCGUGAGACAGUUCGGUCCCUAUCUGCCGUGGGCGCUGGAGAACUGAGGGGGGCUGCUCCUAGUACGAGAGGACCGGAGUGGACGCAUCACUGGUGUUCGGGUUGUCAUGCCAAUGGCACUGCCCGGUAGCUAAAUGCGGAAGAGAUAAGUGCUGAAAGCAUCUAAG
rnacentral:rRNA from 1 species